CAAGGUUGCCAUGCCACUAGUUCGGUGAAGCUGUCAACGGAGGAUUCACUCAGAUGGAACAUGGAGAAGCCUACACAUCAGUGCGACAAGACAUUCAGUUUAAAGUCAGACCUGGCGAGGCGUCUGAAGAUCCAUGCCAUCGCCAGGGAGACCUUUACCUGUGAUGUCUGCGGGAAGAGCUUGGCCACUAAACCAUCGCUGGUCAGCCAUCAACAGCUACACCAGUACCCCAACAUCAUUUUGUACCGGCAAGGAGAGGCCAGGCUGUACUGUACAGAGGCAGCAAGGUCUGUGGCAGAGGCCCGCAAUGGCUGGAUCUCAAGACAGCAGAGACCUUUGGAAAGGUCAGCUGGUCAUCACGUUCGGGUAGUACGCCGGUCAGACCUUCAGGUGGCUUGUGGAGAAUGAUGUCGGCUGGCUGGUGUGGCUGCUGUUCCAGUACUGCCAGCAGGGAGAGCAGAACGAGCUGCAGAAGGAGCGACUGCUCCUUCUGCCACAAGGUGACUCCUCACCUGAAAGUGCGGUCGGACGCACCGUUCCCGGAGGCUCCUGCGCUGCCAACAUCCCUCCCUCCGCCAGACCGGCCUCAGGUCCAGUACCGGCACAUCCAUCACGAGGCUGGAAAGAGACGUGGUGAGAAGCGGAGAUUAUUUGUUGAUGAGCCAGAGCAUGCGACUCCCGCGAACCGGCCCGUUCAGCCCACUGGGUUUGUCGUCCUCCACCCGGCUGAAGCCUGCUGCGCUCACCCCCAUUCUGCCGAGGCCUCCUGCGCCCACCCACCUCCA